rnacentral:tmRNA from 1 species
GGGGUCGACUGGUUUUGACAGCGCGGCAGGUCGGUAGGUAAGCACGUAGGGGGCUGUUGGUUUCCCCUCAAAUCUCGACCAUCAACUUUCAAGUGGCAAUAGCUACAACUUUGCAAUGGCUGCCUAAUCAGUAAGAUUAGCAACAUGCGGUUUCCCCUGGUCCGAGCCUUUAGGAUCAGGUCCGGAAGCCUCGAUCAAAUAAGGCUGGUCCCUGCUGUGUUGCGGUGCAGGGAUAAGAAACAGCAACUAAGUCCGUAAUUAGGGUGUCUGUCCUCAGGUUGCGGGCCUACAAUGCAAAGGCAGAAUAAACGUGUAGAAAGCUUAUGGGUCACGUGUUUGGACGAGGGUUCGAAUCCCUCCGGCUCCACAA